GCGGCCUAUCAGCUUGUUGGUGGGGUAAUGGCCUACCAAGGCGUCGACGGGUAGCCGGCCUGAGAGGGUGUACGGCCACAUUGGGACUGAGAUACGGCCCAGACUCCUACGGGAGGCAGCAGUAGGGAAUAUUGCACAAUGGCGCAAGCCUGAUGCAGCGACGCCGCGUGGGGGAUGACGGCCUUCGGGUUGUAAACUCCUUUCGCAACCGACGAAGCUUUGGUGACGGUAGGUUGAGAAGAAGCACCGGCUAACUACGUGCCAGCAGCCGCGGUAAUACGUAGGGUGCGAGCGUUGUCCGGAAUUACUGGGCGUAAAGAGCUCGUAGGUGGUUUGUCGCGUCGUUUGUGGAAUACCGCAGCUUAACUGCGGGGUUGCAGGCGAUACGGGCAUAACUUGAGUGCUGUAGGGGAGACUGGAAUUCCU
rnacentral:rRNA from 1 species